rnacentral:tRNA from 1 species
ACAAGGUAGCCGUACUGGAAAGUGUGGCUGGAUCACCUCCUUUCUAAGAGAAAGAAAUUGUUUAAAUUAAUUAUUAUUUUAACUCUUCCCUUGUUUUCUCAAAGGCUUAAAUUUUGGGGGUUUAGCUACAGUUGGUUUAGAGCAUCGGCUUCUGCAAGCCGGGGGUCAAGGGUUCGAGUCCCUUAACCUCCAUUUAUUUAUUGUUAAAUAGGUAUGCAGCCUUUUAAGAAAUGGCUUUGUUUUAUAUUGAGUGAAUGAAUUUUUCAUGGCUUUAAAAGAUGUGUUUUUAUGUUGUUUGUUGUCUUGAUGCCAAUUGCUUUUUAUGAAUUCCAAAACUUGAUUACAUGCAAAAAGUUUAUCUCUAAUUAUUUUAUUAAGGUUUGAAUUAAGGACCUUUGAUCAUGAAUCAACCUAAUUGGAUUGGGAUCAGGAGGAGUUGAACCUCCGACCUC